GUGGUACAUGGAAUGGUGGAAUGUUAUGUUGCUAAGCUAGUAUUUUAUUAGCCGAAGAAACAUUCCUUGUGCCCUAAGUGAUAUAAUACACAUACACAAAAAAGAUUUGCCUGGAUGCCCAUAGCAUGGGGAUGACAACGGAUUAGGUAGGUCAUUACUCAUACCUACCUUGUACUUGCAUCAAAAUGGAUAGAGUCUUAGGGUAGGGUGGGGUAGGUUGGAG
rnacentral:lncRNA from 1 species